rnacentral:rRNA from 1 species
AGAGUUUGAUCAUGGCUCAGAUUGAACGCUGGCGGCAGGCCUAACACAUGCAAGUCGAGCGGUAGCACAGAGAGCUUGCUCUCGGGUGACGAGCGGCGGACGGGUGAGUAAUGUCUGGGAAACUGCCUGAUGGAGGGGGAUAACUACUGGAAACGGUAGCUAAUACCGCAUAAUGUCGCAAGACCAAAGUGGGGGACCUUCGGGCCUCAUGCCAUCAGAUGUGCCCAGAUGGGAUUAGCUAGUAGGUGGGGUAACGGCUCACCUAGGCGACGAUCCCUAGCUGGUCUGAGAGGAUGACCAGCCACACUGGAACUGAGACACGGUCCAGACUCCUACGGGAGGCAGCAGUGGGGAAUAUUGCACAAUGGGCGCAAGCCUGAUGCAGCCAUGCCGCGUGUGUGAAGAAGGCCUUCGGGUUGUAAAGCACUUUCAGCGGGGAGGAAGGCGAUAAGGUUAAUAACCUUGUCGAUUGACGUUACCCGCAGAAGAAGCACCGGCUAACUCCGUGCCAGCAGCCGCGGUAAUACGGAGGGUGCAAGCGUUAAUCGGAAUUACUGGGCGUAAAGCGCACGCAGGCGGUCUGUCAAGUCGGAUGUGAAAUCCCCGGGCUCAACCUGGGAACUGCAUUCGAAACUGGCAGGCUAGAGUCUUGUAGAGGGGGGUAGAAUUCCAGGUGUAGCGGUGAAAUGCGUAGAGAUCUGGAGGAAUACCGGUGGCGAAGGCGGCCCCCUGGACAAAGACUGACGCUCAGGUGCGAAAGCGUGGGGAGCAAACAGGAUUAGAUACCCUGGUAGUCCACGCCGUAAACGAUGUCGAUUUGGAGGUUGUGCCCUUGAGGCGUGGCUUCCGGAGCUAACGCGUUAAAUCGACCGCCUGGGGAGUACGGCCGCAAGGUUAAAACUCAAAUGAAUUGACG